GGCCGGUUGGUGUAGUUGGUUAUCACGUCUGCUUAACACGCAUAAGGUCGCCGGAUCGAGCCCGGCACUGGUCA
rnacentral:tRNA from 1 species